CCUACGGGGGGCUGCAGUGGGGAAUAUUGCACAAUGGGCGAAAGCCUGAUGCAGCAACGCCGCGUGAAGGAAGAAGGGUUUCGGCUCGUAAACUUCUAUCAACAGGGACGAAAGAAAUGACGGUACAUGAAUAAGAAGCCCCGGCUAACUACGUGCCAGCAGCCGCGGUAAUACGUAGGGGGCAAGCGUUAACCGGAAUUACUGGGUGUAAAGGGUGGGUAGGCGGCAUGGUAAGCCAGAUGUGAAAGCCUUGGGCUUAACCCGAGGAUUGCAUGUGGAACUAUCAAGCUAGAGUUCAGGAGAGGAGAGCGGAAUUCCUAGUGUAGCGGUGAAAUGCGUAGAUAUUAGGAAGAACACCAGUGGCGAAGGCGGCUUUCUGGACUGAAACUGACGCUGAGGCACGAAAGCGUGGGGAGCGAACAGGAUUAGAUACCCUUGUAGUC
rnacentral:rRNA from 1 species